CCUACGGGUGGCAGCAGUAGGGAAUCUUUCACCAUGGGCGAAAGCCUGAUGGAGCAACGCCGCGUGCAGGAUGAAGGCCUUCGGGUUGUAAACUGCUUUUAUAAGCGAGAAAUAUGAUGGUAACUUAUGAAUAAGGAUCGGCUAACUACGUGCCAGCAGCCGCGGUCAUACGUAGGAUCCGAGCAUUAUCCGGAGUGACUGGGUGUAAAGAGUUGCGUAGGUGGCAUAAUAAGUAGCUAGUGAAAUCUGGUGGCUCAACCAUUCAGACUAUUAGCUAAACUGUUAAGCUCGAGACCGUUAGGGGUAACUGGAAUUUCUAGUGUAGGAGUGAAAUCCGUAGAGAUUAGAAGGAACACCAAUAGCGUAGGCAGGUUGCUGGGACGGUUCUGACACUAAGGCACGAAAGCGUAGGGAGCAAACGGGAUUAGAUACCCGAGUAGUC
rnacentral:rRNA from 1 species